AAAGACAGUCUCGUUAGGUACAGAGUGGGUAACAAUCUGAAUCAGGACAGGUAGCAUUUACUCCAAAGAAAUCACAGAUCCUUGAAGUAACAUGGUAGACUGGAAUCAAUGUUGAAUUUAGAGGCAGAGGAUGCCAGACCAGCUGCUUGGCCACAAAUCACCUGUUUGACCUUGGACAAAAAUGAAGAAACUCAACAGUGGUCACUGGCUAUGGAUAUCCUGAGAAGGUAACUUGGUCGGAAAGGCACAAUCUGGUUUUGAAGACUAGAAAGGGAGUUUGAAUUUCAGGACUUUACGGACUCAUUCCUUUACUCAAGUUACUUAACCUUUUGGCAUCUUUGCUUCCUAAUUUGUUGAAUCAGCAUGAAAAUUUUGUUCCAUCUCUCAUACACGUCUUAAGAAUGUGUUUUUGUGAAAGAAUAUACAUAUGCCAAAUAAAAAGCCAUCUUGAGAUGGUAUCCAAUAUA